rfam:Betaproteobacteria bacterium RIFCSPLOWO2_02_FTLL_62_17 rifcsplowo2_02_scaffold_4931, whole genome shotgun sequence.
GGCGGGCCUCCCCGCGUUGCAGCGUGGUGAAUCUGGUCAGGUCCGGAAGGAAGCAGCCACAGCUACUCACUGCAAGUGCCGGGGGUCAGGCUCGCCACC